GGGGCCGUGGUGCAGUUGGGAGCACGCAACACUGGCAGUGUUGAGGUCGAGGGUUCAAAUCCCUCCGGCUCCACCA
rnacentral:tRNA from 1 species